UACGUAGGGUGCGAGCGUUGUCCGGAAUUAUUGGGCGUAAAGGGCUCGUAGGCGGUUUGUCGCGUCGGGGAGUGAAAUCCCAAGGCUUAACCUUGGGCUUGCAGUGGAUACGGGCAGACGUAGAGGUAGGUAGGGGAGAAUGGAAUUCCCGGUGUAGCGGUGAAAUGCGCAGAUAUCGGGAGGAACACCGGUGGCGAAGGCGGUUCUCUGGGCCUUACCUGACACUGAGGAGCGAAAGCGUGGGGAGCGAACAGG
rnacentral:rRNA from 1 species